rnacentral:rRNA from 1 species
AACGUAGGAGACAAACGUUUAUCCGGAGUUACUGGGCGUAAAGGGCGUGCAGGUGGUCUGUUAAGUCUGGCGUGAAAGCUCUCGGCUAAACCGGGAGAGGUCGUUGGAUACUGGCGGACUAGAGGACGGUAGAGGCGUGUGGAAUUCCGGGUGUAGUGGUGAAAUGCGUAGAGAUCCGGAGGAACACCAGUGGCGAAGGCGACUACCUGGCCUGUUUCUUGACGCUGAGGCGCGAAAGCUAGGGGAGCAAACGGGG